AUAUCGAUGAUGACUCCCUCACAAUGAAUGCAUUCCUUGGAAAAGCUGAACAAAAUGAGUGAGAAUUCCAACCAUUGUUCUCAUUGGAUCUGAGGUAA